AACGGUAACGCGGGGCAACCUGGCGACGAGUGGCGAACGGGUGAGUAACGCAUCGGAACGUGCCCAGUAGUGGGGGAUAGCCCGGCGAAAGCCGGAUUAAUACCGCAUACGACCUACGGGUGAAAGCGGGGGAUCGUAAGACCUCGCGCUAUUGGAGCGGCCGAUGUCAGAUUAGGUAGUUGGUGAGGUAAAGGCUCACCAAGCCUUCGAUCUGUAGCUGGUCUGAGAGGACGACCAGCCACACUGGGACUGAGACACGGCCCAGACUCCUACGGGAGGCAGCAGUGGGGAAUUUUGGACAAUGGGCGCAAGCCUGAUCCAGCCAUGCCGCGUGCGGGAAGAAGGCCUUCGGGUUGUAAACCGCUUUUGUCAGGGAAGAAACGCUCUGGGCUAAUACCCUGGGGUAAUGACGGUACCUGAAGAAUAAGCACCGGCUAACUACGUGCCAGCAGCCGCGGUAAUACGUAGGGUGCAAGCGUUAAUCGGAAUUACUGGGCGUAAAGCGUGCGCAGGCGGUUAUGCAAGACAGAUGUGAAAUCCCCGGGCUUAACCUGGGAACUGCAUUUGUGACUGCAUAGCUAGAGUGCGGCAGAGGGGGAUGGAAUUCCGCGUGUAGCAGUGAAAUGCGUAGAUAUGCGGAGGAACACCGAUGGCGAAGGCAAUCCCCUGGGCCUGCACUGACGCUCAUGCACGAAAGCGUGGGGAGCAAACAGGAUUAGAU
rnacentral:rRNA from 1 species